CUGCUGAGACAACUCUGUAAGCUGGUGGUGCAAAUUGGGGUGGAGGAAUGGUAAGAAUCCCACAAUUGGAAGGCCACGAGGCCCUGGUGGCAACCCAGGUUCUGUCUUCUGUGGUAUAUUUGAUGUCCUUUUGUACCAUAUAAUUGUCAGGAACACAAUUGAAAGGGUAAUACCUGCAAGACCAAGCUCGUUUAGAGGUGCUAAAGCCAUGUUUAGUAUAGGGAGAUAGUCUCAGGUCUUCUUCAAAUACCAGUUUUUGAAAGGAAGCCUAUUAUUUAACCUCACAAUGAAAUACUCUUAGUCUUUAUCAGUAGGGAAGAUAGUCUUAGCGCUGCUUCUAAUAUCAACUUCUGUAAGGAAGACAAUUAUCAAUAUAGAAGCUAAGUUUUCCAUCCAUAUAGAUAAGGUAAGUAUGGUUGAAGGCAAAUGCAAUAAUAAUGGAGUACUGACUAUGACUGAUUUGAACUAGCAAAAGGAAAUGUUAAAACACUUUAGAAGAAGGAAACUACCAACAUCAUAUCAAAAGUACAUGUGACGUAAC
rnacentral:lncRNA from 1 species